UACGUAGGGGGCGAGCGUUGUCCGGAUUUAUUGGGCGUAAAGAGCGUGUAGGCGGCCAGGUAGGUCUGCUGUGAAAACUCGAGGCUCAACCUCGCGACGUCGGCGGAAACCAUCUGGCUAGAGUCCGGAAGAGGAGAGUGGAAUUCCCGGUGUAGUGGUGAAAUGCGUAGAUAUCGGGAGGAACACCAGUGGCGAAGGCGGCUUUCUGGCCUGUUCUUGACGCUGAGGCGCGAAAGCUAGGGGAGCAAACGGG
rnacentral:rRNA from 1 species